GAUCCUGGCUUAGGACGAACGCUGGCGGCGUGCCUAACACAUGCAAGUCGAGCGAGGAGAUUCCUUCGGGAUGAUCCUAGCGGCGGACGGGUGAGUAACACGUGGGCAACCUGCCUCAUAGAGAGGAAUAGCCUUCCGAAAGGGAGAUUAAUACCUCAUAACAUUGCAGUUUCGCAUGGAACAGCAAUUAAAGGAGCAAUCCGCUAUGAGAUGGGCCCGCGGCGCAUUAGCUAGUUGGUGAGGUAACGGCUCACCAAGGCGACGAUGCGUAGCCGACCUGAGAGGGUGAUCGGCCACAUUGGGACUGAGACACGGCCCAGACUCCUACGGGAGGCAGCAGUGGGGAAUAUUGCACAAUGGGGGAAACCCUGACGCAAGCAACGCCGCGUGAGUGAUGACAGCCUUCGGGUUGUAAAGCUCUGUCUUCAGGGACGAUAAUGACGGUACCUGAGGAGGAAGCCACGGCUAACUACGUGCCAGCCGCCGC
rnacentral:rRNA from 1 species